rnacentral:tRNA from 2 species
GGGGGAGUGCUGGAAUUGGCAGACAGGCAUGACUUAGGAUCAUGUGCCGAAAGGCAUGAGGGUUCAAACCCCUCCUUCCCUACCA